rnacentral:misc_RNA from 1 species
GAUGAAGAACGUAGCGAAAUGCGAUACGUAAUGUGAAUUGCAAAUUCAGUGAAUCAUCGAGUCUUUGAACGCACAUUGCGCCCCCUGGUAUUCCGGGGGGCAUGCCUGUCCGAGCGUCAUUGCUGCCCUCAAGCACGGCUUGUGUGUUGGGCCCCGUCCUCCGAUCCCGGGGGACGGGCCCGAAAGGCAGCGGCGGCACCGCGUCCGGUCCUCGAGCGUAUGGGGCUUUGUCACCCGCUCUGUAGGCCCGGCCGGCGCUUGCCGAUCAACCCAAAUUUUUAUCCAGGUUGACUUGGGAUCAGGUAGGGAUACCCGCUGAACUUAAGCAUAUCAAUAAGCGGAGGA